CGUGAAGGAUGAAAGUACCUUCGGGAAUGUAAACUUACGCAAAGUAAUGGGAAGAACUCAAUGAAGGUACUUGAGGAAUAAGCAUCGGCUAACUCCGUGCCAGCAGCCGCGGUAAUACGGAGGAUGCAAGCGUUAUCCGGAAUGAUUGGGCGUAAAGCGUCCGCAGGUGGCAGUGUAAGUCUGCUGUUAAAGAGCAAAGCUUAACUUUGUAAAAGCAGUGGAAACUACACAGCUAGAGUACGGUCGGGGCAGAGGGAAUUCCUGGUGUAGCGGUGAAAUGCGUAGAGAUCAGGAAGAACACCGGUGGCGAAGGCGCUCUGCUAGGCCUGUACUGACACUGAGGGACGAAAGCUAGGGGAGCGAAUGGGAUUAGAUACCCCAGUAGUCCUAGCCGUAAACGAUGGAUACUAGGCGUUGCGAGUAUCGACCCUCGCAGUGCCGGAGCCAACGCGUUAAGUAUCCCGCCUGGGGAGUACGCACGCAAGUGUG
rnacentral:rRNA from 1 species